CAGAGCUACUGUUUGGAAGUGGCGGCAGUGAUCGUGGAAAAACUGGUGUGGAGGCUUCCUCCUGUCCCUGAUGUGACUGCCUGCCUGAGCACACUGUUGUUUGACACCUGGACAGUCUCAAGUGAUAAAGAAUAAUAAUUUUCCUUUUGUUUAUUUCCGUUGAGGAAAAGUAGAAACAAUUAGGAUGGGGAAGGAAUAUGAACUUUUCCCCUGUUCUUCCAAGAGUGGGCCCAGGCAGGGCUGAAAGGUGGGCGGGCCUGCUCCCUCAGCUCGCAUCCGCGGCCCAGGGUGGGCCUUCAUGCCACCGCCUUCUCUGUGAAGAGAAGCUGAAUAUAACAACUAACCCGAACUGUACAGCUUUUGUGAAGAGCAGCUGAAUGUAACAACUAACCUGAGCUGUGCAGCUUUACCUACUGCCUUGCAAGUUCUGACUGAAACGGCCCCUGGAUUCAUACAGAGGGCUGAGGUCUGCUCCUUGCAGACCUGGUUCGCUUUACAGCUGGUGGGAUUAUCCAGGUUUUCUUGAAUAGACAUGUCAAAAAGCUGAGUCAGCCAUGCUGCAGCUAUUCAGAUCCUAAAGCUCCUUCUUCCUUAAGGAUUGCUUACCCCUACUCUGUGCAGUCAGAUGAAGAUGAGUUGUUUGUUCUGGCAGAGGGACAGACAGUCUGUUUUCCUCUACAUGUAUACAGCUAAUUUCAAGUCACUAGUGUUCUAGCUGGUGAUAAAAGAGCUAUCUUAAGCUUUUCACAGAACACAGUGACACUGUUAAAUCAGCACAGCGAUUUGAUUAGCAGAAAGAUGAGAGCUAUACGGCUUAAUGAUA